GCCUGCGUAGCUCAGUGGUGGAGCGCAUCCUUGGUAAGGAUGAGGUCGCCGGUUCAAUCCCGGCCGUAGGCUCCA
rnacentral:tRNA from 2 species